rnacentral:rRNA from 1 species
GGACUACCAGGGUAUCUAAUCCCUUUUGCUCCCCACGCUUUCGUGCCUGAGUGUCAGCUAUUGUCCAGGGAGCCGCCUUCGCCUCUGGUAUUCCUCACGAUAUCUACGCAUUUCACUGCUACACCGUGAAUUCUGCUCCCCUCUCCAAUGCUCUAGCCAUGUAGUUUGAGGUGCAAUUCCGCAGUUGAGCUACGGGCUUUCACGCCUCACACACUUGGCCACCUGCGCACCCUUUACGCCCAGUGAAUCCGAAUAACGCUUGCAGUCUCUGUAUUACCGCGGCUGCUGGCAC